rnacentral:rRNA from 1 species
GACGAACGCUGGCGGCGUGCCUAAUACAUGCAAGUAGAACGCUGAAGGAAGGAGCUUGCUCUUUCUGGAUGAGUUGCGAACGGGUGAGUAACGCGUAGGUAACCUGCCUGGUAGCGGGGGAUAACUAUUGGAAACGAUAGCUAAUACCGCAUAAAAUUGAUUAUUGCAUGAUAGUCAAUUAAAAGGUGCAACUGCACCACUACCAGAUGGACCUGCGUUGUAUUAGCUAGUUGGUGGGGUAACGGCUCACCAAGGCGACGAUACAUAGCCGACCUGAGAGGGUGGUCGGCCACACUGGGACUGAGACACGGCCCAGACUCCUACGGGAGGCAGCAGUAGGGAAUCUUCGGCAAUGGACGGAAGUCUGACCGAGCAACGCCGCGUGAGUGAAGAAGGUUUUCGGAUCGUAAAGCUCUGUUGUAAGAGAAGAACGAGUGUGAGAGUGGAAAGUUCACACUGUGACGGUACCUUACCAGAAAGGGACGGCUAACUACGUG